AUGUGAUACAGUAACUAAAUUUAAUAAUUUAGGAACAAAUUCAAUUCAGUUUACAAGCAACUUUCUCAUAAGAGAUACUCAUGAAAGCCCAAAUUUAAUUCAGCCAACCUAAAAUGCAAAAAGAAGAUACAGAGGUCAUGCUUACUUCUGCUUAAGUGGCAAAUAAUUCAGCUUGCAAAUGAUAAUAAAUCAGCAGGAAAAGCAGCUAUUGAAG